CACGUAGGGCGCAAGCGUUGUCCGGAAUUACUGGGCGUAAAGCGUGCGCAGGCGGUUUUGUAAGCCAGAUGUGAAAGCCCCGGGCUUAACCUGGGAAUGGCAUUUGGGACUGCAAGGCUUGAGUGCGGCAGAGGAGACUGGAAUUCCUGGUGUAGCAGUGAAAUGCGUAGAUAUCAGGAGGAAUACCGAUGGCGAAGGCAGGUCUCUGGGCUGACACUGACGCUCAUGCACGAAAGCGUGGGGAGCAAACAGG
rnacentral:rRNA from 1 species